rnacentral:rRNA from 1 species
AGAGUUUGAUCCUGGCUCAGAUUGAACGCUGGCGGCAUGCCUUACACAUGCAAGUCGAACGGCAGCACGGGGGCAACCCUGGUGGCGAGUGGCGAACGGGUGAGUAAUACAUCGGAACGUGUCCUGUAGUGGGGGAUAGCCCGGCGAAAGCCGGAUUAAUACCGCAUACGCUCUACGGAGGAAAGGGGGGGGAUCUUAGGACCUCCCGCUACAGGGGCGGCCGAUGGCAGAUUAGCUAGUUGGUGGGGUAAAGGCCUACCAAGGCGACGAUCUGUAGCUGGUCUGAGAGGACGACCAGCCACACUGGGACUGAGACACGGCCCAGACUCCUACGGGAGGCAGCAGUGGGGAAUUUUGGACAAUGGGGGCAACCCUGAUCCAGCAAUGCCGCGUGUGUGAAGAAGGCCUUCGGGUUGUAAAGCACUUUUGUCCGGAAAGAAAACGCCGUGGUUAAUACCCGUGGCGGAUGACGGUACCGAAGAAUAGCA